rnacentral:rRNA from 1 species
AGUGAACGCUGGCGGUAGGCCUAACACAUGCAAGUCGAACGGCAGCACAGUAAGAGCUUGUCCUUACGGGUGGCGAGUGGCGGACGGGUGAGGAAUACAUCGAAAUCUACUUUUACGUGGGGGCUAACGUAGGGAACCACUCGUUAUUACCGCAUCCGACUUACGGGUGAAUCCAGGGGAUCUUCGGACCUUCCGCGACAGAAAGACCCGAGGUCGGGUUAGCUAGUUGGUGGGGUAAAGGCCCACCAAGGCGACGAUCCGUAGCUGGUGUGAGAGGAUGACGGGCCAAACGGGAACUGGGACACGGUCCGACCUCCGAGGGGGGGAGGCGGUGGGGAAUUUUGGACAAUGGGCGCAAUCCGGAUCCGGCCAUACCGCGUGGUUGAAGAAGGCCUUCGGGUUGUAAAGCCCUUUUGUUGGGAAAGAAAAGCAGCAGGUUAAUACCCCGCUGUUCUGACGGUACCCAAAGAAUAAGCAACGGCUAACUUCGUG